rnacentral:lncRNA from 1 species
UCUAGGACUCAGAAAUAUAGAUGUUAGUAAGAGCAAACAGACAUAACAGAUAACACAUACAAAGUGCCUACCACAUGCUAACCACUGCUGCAGGCACUUUCUAUAGAAGAACUAAUUUAAUCAUCACCAUAACCCUAUGGGGUAGAUGAUAUUUUUACAACCUCCAUUUUACAGAUGAAGAAACUGAAGCAUAGACCUGCUUAUGUGAGAAGAAACGCAGGGAGACAGUUCAGUCACUGCAAUCUUCAUGCCCAUCAGUUUCUUGUGAGAAGAAAACAAGUGGAUAUACACUGUUCCAAGCAGCAUGUGUUGAAAAGAUUUGUCUUUUCCCCAUUAAAUGGUCUUGGUACCUUUCUCAAAAAUUGACCAUAUAUGA